rnacentral:rRNA from 1 species
GAGGGUGAUCGGCCACACUGGAACUGAGACACGGUCCAGACUCCUACGGGAGGCAGCAGUAGGGAAUCUUCCGCAAUGGGCGAAAGCCUGACGGAGCAACGCCGCGUGAGUGAUGAAGGUCUUCGGAUCGUAAAACUCUGUUAUUAGGGAAGAACAUAUGUGUAAGUAACUGUGCACAUCUUGACGGUACCUAAUCAGAAAGCCACGGCUAACUACGUGCCAGCAGCCGCGGUAAUACGUAGGUGGCAAGCGUUAUCCGGAAUUAUUGGGCGUAAAGCGCGCGUAGGCGGUUUUUUAAGUCUGAUGUGAAAGCCCACGGCUCAACCGUGGAGGGUCAUUGGAAACUGGAAAACUUGAGUGCAGAAGAGGAAAGUGGAAUUCCAUGUGUAGCGGUGAAAUGCGCAGAGAUAUGGAGGAACACCAGUGGCGAAGGCGACUUUCUGGUCUGUAACUGACGCUGAUGUGCGAAAGCGUGGGGAUCAAACAGGAUUAGAUACCCUGGUAGUCCACGCCGUAAACGA